AUUGAACGCUGGCGGCAGGCCUAACACAUGCAAGUCGCACGAGUGGCGGACGGUUGAGUACUGUCUGGGCAACUGCCCGAUGGAGGGCGAUAACUACUGGAAACGGUAGCUAAUACCGCAUACCAUCGGAUGUGCCCAGAUGGGAUUAGCUUGUAGGUGAGGUAACGGCUCACCUCGGCGACUAUGCCUAGCUGGUCUGAGAGGAUGACCAGCAACACUGGAACUGAGACACGGUCCAGACUCCUACGGGAGGCAGCAGUGGGGAAUAUUGCACAAUGGGCGCAAGCCUGAUGGAGCCAGGCCGCGGGUAUGAAGAAGGCCUUCGGGUUGUAAAGUACUUGCAGCGGGGAGGCGUUACCCGCAGAAGAAGCACCGGCUAACUCCGCGCCAGCAGCCGCGGUAAUAC
rnacentral:rRNA from 1 species